AAUCUCUUAGAGACACCCUGCUCAUCAUCAUUAAUGUGCUCUGAUUUACAUUCAGGCUCUUCCUAUCCUGAAUAUGUUCCCAACAUCAAUCUGUCUGUACAGUCUUGAAAAAAGAAUUUAAGUUACCAAGUUAGUGCAUACAUUAGCUUUCUCUUACUGGAAACAGACACUUAAAAAGAGGAACUUUUGCUGCUUUGCUUCUGGUUCUGUGCCAAGGCAACAGGGCAUGAUGGGAACAGGUUAAAGAGCAAAUCUUCUCAACUCCUGGCUGCCAGGAAGCCAGUGAGAGGAAGAGGCCAGGGAAAAGGUCCUGCUGAGCCUUGAAGGGCACAGCCCCAAUGACCUCAUUCCCUCCUGGUAGGUCCCACCUCCCACAGGAUCCACCACUACAUACUAUGGCUAUGCCACAGAGAAACUCCUGUAUCAUGUGGGCUUUUGGUAUAUCAUCUAAGUUCUCCGAUUCCUAGCUGGGGUGAAUGGCACAUCUAUGUAAUAUCAUCCCUCAGGAGGGUGAGGAUGGACAGAUGUGAGAAGUUUGAGGACAGCCUGAGAUACAUAGUGAUUGUGGCCUCAAACUCUCAGCCAUCCUCCUGCCUCAGCUUCUUGAGUGCUACUAUUACAUCAUGGGCCAGGACACUAGGCCUCUUUUAACUUGUUUGAGGAAAGUCCUAGGGCCCUGGGAAGAGAGGCCAAAGAUCCCUGAAGGCAGAAUUCUGCAUGAUGAAGUCUAUGCCUUGUGCGGGUUGCUGGAAGACAUGUCCAGGGAUGAAAGUACCAAGUAACCUUCACACAGAGCCUAAAGAACAGACAGCCUUAACAUCAACAGAUACCAGAAAUGGAUUAAAGCAAAAUUUAGAAUCCCAGUGUGGAAUUCACCCGAAUGUCCCAUUAUGAAUAAAUGGCUAUGACAAUAUCUGUCAUCUAUCUACACAGUAGACAGUUAUACCUUCCUCAGAAAGGACGGCACUCUGACAUCCUGCACUCUCAAGGGACCCUGAGGACAUUGUGCUAAGAGGAAGAAGGCAGACACCAAAGACACACGUGGUCUGAGUCCACAGGACUGCUAGGCAUACAAGGAUCCCAGCGCUGUCCAUUCAUAGGGACAAUGGGAGAACACUGCUUCCCAGAGGCUGUGAGAAGAGACUGGGCAUCCAUGGUUUCAUGGGGUAGAGUUUCUCUUCAGGUGGAGGAAACAAUUCCAUAGAUGCAUAGAGGGCUGGCUGUACAACAGAAGCAAUAGACAUUCACGUGCUACAUAUUAUAUUUUGGCCAGUGAUGGACCACAGAGACAUAGUGCUUAUAUGAGAUGGUUUCACCUCCUGCCCUGCUAGUUCUUAGAGCUGGGUGAGUUCAUUCUACCAGGUUGGCACAAUGACAGUUUCAAUGGAUUGCCCCUUUCCCAGAACACAUUCCCAUCAUUAUUUCCAUACCGGGGAAGGGAAUAGGAAAAGACAGGAUGUGGGACAAGGAGAGCCCCAUCAGUCAAAAAUCUGUGGGGCUGGUAGGAAGGAGGGGUUAGAACAUGUGUUCCCAGGAUGCACAGGGGAAGCAGAGACUCAAGUAGAGCUUCCUUUCACACACCUGUGACAAUGUGUCUACAACAGGUGGAGUUUGGAAGGAAGGGAACAAUGGACCCUGCAAGGAGAACUGAAAGCAGAUGGAGAACAGCAAAGGUCUGUUGAUGGCAUCCAACUUCUGUCCUUAGGCCUCUGGCCGGAAAAGGAAGAGAGGCUGUGGGAGUCAGAAGAUGAGUGGCAGAUGGACCUGCUGGGUCUUUUUGAUCCAGUCCCUCGAUUAGCACUCUACUUCCUGCCUCUGGCCAGAAGAAGCAGAAAGACUGGUCCAUAGAAGUGGAGAACUAUGAGGAGGAGGACAUGUCUGGGUUUUUUUACUUAGCCUAUACGGUAAACCCCCAGCUCUCACCUCAGUCCCCUGGCCAAAAAAAGAAAGUGGGAAUGAUUAUUUGGGUCUAGGAAGAAAUCACAGGAGGCACUGGGCAACCUGGUCUGGGCCCUCAGUGCAUAGGGCUCAUGGAGUUCCCAUAUGGACUCCAAAUGACCCUGAGAGGAAGCAUCUAUGGUCAGUGCUGCUUGAGCACCACCAGGAACCAGGCUGUUAGGUAAGCAGACCUCAGACUGCACCUCCAACAAGGUUCUUUAAGAACAGAAGAAAAGUGCAAUUACUUCCUUUUCCCAUCAAAGGGAGGUCACUGUGAGGCAGGAGCUCUCCUUCCCAGAGGACUCUGGCCCCAUCCAUCCUCAGGGACAUGGAAAUGACACAACUUACACAUGUGUUAAAAUGUUCCCCCAUUGUGAUCAGAAAGCCUGGUUACAGCACCUUCCUGUUCAACAGAACUCUUGCUGACUCUUCUCAGUGCAAAUGGUUUCAGCCCUAAAUGUGUGACCGGGACACCUUCACUCCCAAAUGUGUAUCUCAGAGGAGAAAAGAACCCUCAUGCUUUCUGAGUUUGAAAGUGAUAUAUUCAUAUGUCAUGAGGCCACCAUGGUAUGUUCAAAGCUCCUAAUAAUGCAGGUAUUUGCUGCUACCCAGCCUCUAACUCAGUAGUUCCUCCAGGAUUCUGAGGGUUGAGCCCAUGUCCCCUGUCAAGUGAAUGUCCUCCUCCACCCUCUGCUCAUUUGUCUGCCCUCGGCCUCAUGCUGAACCUUUUGCCAGGCAGGCCCAGUUAUACUCCUCGUCUGCUUGCCCCAUGAGAAACCCUGUGCCAGUCCCCAAGGUGAUGCUCUGUUCUCUUCACACAGCAGACUGUGUUCAAGAGAUGCCUGGCCUGGUGCAAGAACCUCAGUCCACAGUGGCAAACAUCAUUCGCCUAACAGAGGGAUUGGCUUCUUCUGGGAACUUUCACUCCAGCCCCACCGGAUCCUACUUCUCAAAGCCAGGCAAUGCUCCAUUCUGGAUCUCCUCACAUCGGGCCACUGAGUA
rnacentral:lncRNA from 1 species